rnacentral:rRNA from 1 species
ACUCAUGUUGCCUCGGCGGGUCCUCCCGCCAGAGGAUACAUCAAAACUCCUGUUUUAACGGUGUUGUCUGAGCUACAAGCAACGAAUCAAAACUUUCAACAACGGAUCUCUUGGUUCUGGCAUCGAUGAAGAACGCAGCGAAAUGCGAUAAGUAGUGUGAAUUGCAGAAUUCAGUGAAUCAUCGAAUCUUUGAACGCACAUUGCGCCCCUUGGUAUCCCGAGGGGCAUGCCUGUUCGAGCGUCAUUUCACCACUCAAGCCUGGCUUGGUGUUGGGCGACGUCCCCUUUGGGGACGCGCCUCGAAACGCUCGGCGGCGUGGCACCGGCUUUAAGCGUAGCAGAAUCUUUCGCUUUGAAAGUCGGGGCCCCGUCUGCCGGAAGACCUACUCACAAGGUUGACCUCGGAUCAGGCAGGGAUACCCGCUGAACUUAAGCAUAUCAAUAAGCGGAGGA